AUUGAACGCUGGCGGCAGGCCUAACACAUGCAAGUCGAACGAGUGGCGGACGGGUGAGUAAUGUCUGGGAAACUGCCCGAUGGAGGGGGAUAACUACUGGAAACGGUAGCUAAUACCGCAUACCAUCGGAUGUUCCCCGAUGGGAUUAGCUAGUAGGUGGGGUAACGGCUCACCUAGGCGACGAUCCCUAGCUGGUCUGAGAGGAUGACCAGCCACAAUGGAACUGGGACACGGUCCAGACUCCUACGGGAGGCAGCAGUGGGGAAUAUUGCACAAUGGGCGCAAGCCUGAUGCAGCCAUGCCGCGUGUAUGAAGAAGGCCUUAGGGUUGUAAAGUACUUUCAGCGAGGAGGCGUUACUCGCAGAAGAAGCACCGGCUAACUACGUGCCAGCAGCCGCGGUAAUUC
rnacentral:rRNA from 1 species